UGAUUAAAGGAUAACCAGUCACUGAAGAU
rnacentral:piRNA from 1 species